GGUGGCCCCUCACAAUGGAACUGAGACACGGUCCAUACACCUACGGGUGGCAGCAGUAGGGAAUAUUGCACAAUGGACGAAAGUCUGAUGCAGCAACGCCGCGUGUACGAUGAAGGCCUUCGGGUCGUAAAGUACUUUUCAGGGAGAUGAGAAAGGACAGUACCCCUGGAAUAAGUCUCGGCUAACUGCGUGCCAGCAGCCGCGGUAAAACGUAGGAGGCGAGCGUUAUCCGGAUUUACUGGGUGUAAAGCGCGUGCAGGCGGUUUGAUAAGUUGGAUGUGAAAGCUCCUGGCUCAACUGGGAGAGGUCGUUCAAAACUAUCAGACUAGAGAGUGGUAGAGGAAAGUGGAAUUCCCGGUGUAGUGGUGAAAUGCGUAGAUAUCGGGAGGAACACCAGUGGCGAAGGCGGCUUUCUGGACCAUUUCUGACGCUCAGACGCGAAAGCUAGGGUAGCAAACGGGAUUAGAGACCCCGGUAGUCCUAGCAGUAAACGAUGUGAACUUGGCGUUGGUGGUGUAAAAACCAUCAGUGCCGAAGCUAACGCGAUAAGUUCACCACCUGGGAACUACGGCCGCAAGGUUAAAACUCAAAGGAAUUGACGGGUCCCCGCACAAGCAGCGGAGCGUGUGGUUUAAUUCGAUAUUACACGAAGAACCUUACCCGGGUUUGACAUACAAGUGGUAGUGAAGCGAAAGCGGAACGACCCUUCGGGGAGCUUGAACAGGUGCUGCAUGGCUGUCGUCAGCUCGUGUCGUGAGAUGUCCGGUUAAGUCCGGUAACGAGCGCGACCCUCGCCGUAUGUUACAAGUGUCAUACGGGACCGCCGGUAUCAAGCCGGAGGAAGGUGGGGAUGACGUCAAGUCAGCAUGGCCUUUAUAUCCGGGGCUACACACACGCUACAAUGGCCGGUACAAUAGGUUGCUAAGCCGCGAGGUAGAGCCAAUCCUCAAAGCCGGUCUCAGUUCAGAUCGCAGGCUGCAACUCGCCUGCGUGAAGUUGGAGUUGCUAGUAAACGCGCGUCAGCUAUAGUGCGUUGAAUACGUUCCCGGGGAUUGUACACACCGCCCGUCACGUCAUGGGAGCUGGCAACACCUGAAGUCAGUAGCCUAACCGCAAGGAGGGCGCUGCCGAAGGUGGGGUUGGUGACUGGGACGAAGUCGUAACAAGGUAGGAGUACCGGAAGGUGCGCCUGG
rnacentral:rRNA from 1 species